rnacentral:lncRNA from 1 species
UUUUUUUUUUUUGAAUGAGAACUAUUGCUCAUGAUGACAUUUACAAUCAUAUAUAUACUGAGACCCGUUUACAUCAAUUCUGUAUGGCACCGCUCAGAUUUUUAACCCUCUCAAAUAUUUGAGGGACGUCAACUCUCAUUCUGAGAGAAAGACUGCCUUCACUCAAGCUCUAGGGCUCCAAGGAAGGAAAUUGAAAUCAAACUCCUACAAUGCGUCUGCGGAGGCUCGAACCACUUCCCUUACAUUUGUGAGGGAGUGACUCUGGCCACUUAGGCUAAGCCCAAGUGGUUUAUUAUUAUUAUUAUUAUUAUUAUUAUUAUUAAAACACCUUAAUUUAAACGUAUGAAAGUUUCCUUGAAAAAAAAUAUGUAUGAAUUUUAUAUAUUUAUUGUUGCUAGUUUGCUACUUCACUAUACACUAGUAUUUGCCCUACCAUAUAACUAUAUAUCAAACUAUAUUAAUUAGAUGAGGGACUUAUUUAUUAUUAUUAUGGAUUUAGCACACAUUAAUCAUUAGCAUGUACUUCAAUUAGUCCACAUUGGAUUUGGACCUUAACUAAAAGUUCGAAAAAUAAAUUGGAAAAACUCUAAACCACACAAUUGGCUUAGGAUGCCAAGUUAAUCAAAGUGUUGGAACAUUAUCAACGUAUCUUUAUAAUUUAAACGAGAACAUGUAUAAAAAUGUUAAGCACAAAAGAGGGGAACGAAAGAGCUUAAAUUCGAUAUGAUUAAAAAAGUGCUUGCAUAUCUUUACAUGGAUAAGCAAUCCUAAAUUUCCCCCCACUAAAUUACUAUUAACGUUUAUUUAAAUAUAUGGGAACCUAAUUUUGUUCUCCUCUUUAAUUUAAAAAGUCACCUACGCAACUCCCACCAACUUUUUAAAAAAAAAAAGAAAAUAAAAUUAAGUGUAUAAGGUAGAUAGUGCUAAACUUCAUAACAUAGAAAAUCAUUUAUUUAUAUC